CGGGGUGUGUAAGUGCAGCGAUGCAUUGAGCUAACCCGUACUAAUUACCCGUGAGGCUUAACCAUACAACACCCAAGAAGUGUUCU
rnacentral:rRNA from 1 species